GGAGUGAGCUGUCCUACCGCUGCGGUAUUUUUACCGGAGAGGAAAGUCCGGGCAGCGCAGAGCGCCGUACUUCCUAACAGGAAGGCAAAAAGUUGGGAACGGCUUUUUUGACAGCAAGUGCCACAGAAAUGAUACCGCCUUGGCAUGUUUUUUAUAGGUUGAGGUAAGGGUGAAAUGGUGGGGUAAGAGCCCACCGACCGGCUGGCGACAGGCGGGGCAAGGUAAACCUUACGGGCUGAAAGAUCAAAUAGGUGUUGGUUUGCGGGGCUGCUCGUCCCCGUUCUUCGGAACGCCGGCACGGGUAGAUCGUUAGAGGUCCAGGGCGACCUGGAUCCUGGAUAAAUGGUAGGAGUUUUCGGGCACUCAGGUGCACGGAGAAACAGAAUCCGGCUUAUAGGCUUGCCCCUUUU
rnacentral:RNase_P_RNA from 2 species